rnacentral:rRNA from 1 species
UACAGAGGUGGCAAGCGUUGUUCGGAAUUACUGGGCGUAAAGGGCCAGUAGGCGGCCAACUAAGUCCGACGUGAAAUCCCCAGGCUUAACUUGGGAACUGCGUCGGAUACUGGAUGGCUUGAAUUCGGGAGAGGGAUGCAGAAUUCCAGGUGUAGCGGUGAAAUGCGUAGAUAUCUGGAGGAAUACCGGUGGCGAAGGCGGCAUCCUGGACCAAUAUUGACGCUGAGGAGCGAAAGCCAGGGGAGCAAACGGG